GAUGAACGCUGGCGGCGUGCCUAAUACAUGCAAGUCGAGCGAACGGACGAGAAGCUUGCUUCUCUGAUGUUAGCGGCGGACGGGUGAGUAACACGUGGAUAACCUACCUAUAAGACUGGGAUAACUUCGGGAAACCGGAGCUAAUACCGGAUGAUAUUUUGAACCGCAUGGUUCAAAAGUGAAGGACGGUCUUGCUGUCACUUAUAGAUGGAUCCGCGCUGCAUUAGCUAGUUGGUAAGGUAACGGCUUACCAAGGAAACGAUGCAUAGCCGACCUGAGAGGGUGAUCGGCCACACUGGAACUGAGACACGGUCCAGACUCCUACGGGAGGCAGCAGUAGGGAAUCUUCCGCAAUGGGCGAAAGCCUGACGGAGCAACGCCGCGUGAGUGAUGAAGGUCUUCGGAUCGUAAAACUCUGUUAUUAGGGAAGAACAUAUGUGUAAGUAACUGUGCACAUCUUGACGGUACCUAAUCAGAAAGCCACGGCUAACUACGUG
rnacentral:rRNA from 1 species